rnacentral:rRNA from 1 species
ACGGGAGGCAGCAGUGGGGAAUAUUAGGCAAUGGGGGCAACCCUGACCUAGCAACGCCGCGUGAAGGAAGAAGGCCUUCGGGUUGUAAACUUCUUUUAUGAGGGACGAAGGAAGUGACGGUACCUCAUGAAUAAGCCACGGCUAACUACGUGCCAGCAGCCGCGGUAAUACGUAGGUGGCGAGCGUUGUCCGGAUUUACUGGGUGUAAAGGGCGCGUAGGCGGGAUUGCAAGUCAGAUGUGAAAUCCAUGGGCUCAACCCAUGAACUGCAUUUGAAACUGUUUCUCUUGAGUGCUGGAGAGGUAGAUGGAAUUCCUAGUGUAGCGGUGAAAUGCGUAGAUAUUAGGAAGAACACCAGUGGCGAAGGCGAUCUACUGGACAGUAACUGACGCUGAGGCGCGAAAGCGUGGGGAGCAAACAGGAUUAGAUACCCUGGUA